CUGCUUCAAGAUUCACUGGAGGUUGGUAUCAUGGGCCAUGUUCCUUCUGAUUUCAUACCUGCAAGCAGUUUACAGAGGAGCCCUGCUCCUACCACACUUUCCCAGGCAAGAGCUGAGAGGACUACAAGUCGAAACUUCAUUUCAGGACAAAAAUUACUGUGAUGCCUGCAUGAUGCUGUAUCAUUUCUUCAUGCCACUGUAUCUCAGCACUUAGAAGGUUUAAAUCUGCAUCUCUUGAGGGGUAUUAAGAAGCCUUUAUCCUGAAAUGCAAAAAAGGCACCCUACUGAAAUUCAAGCAAUGCUGGGCGUACCGAGCAGAGGUCUGGCUUUUCGUUAAUGGAAGAGGAAAACUACUUUUACAACUGGAACAGAAACGUCAGCACCUCAAAUUCCAGCCCAAAUUGCCAAGUGAUUGCAGAAAAUGCCUGUGGACUACUCUUCAAGAGCGAAAGUCAUAGGAAAAUAGUAAAUGUGGAUUCCAAGCUAAAUCCAGGGAACAACACAACAUGGAUGCCUGUUGGAACAGAUCU